CAUGCCUUUACCAAAAUGGAGGUUGUAGUCAUUUCUGUGUAGCUGACAAUAAGGGGAAAAUAUCCUGUGGGUGCCCGGCAAAUCUGGUGUUAGCGGAAGAUAAAGAAACGUGCAUCAGCACAUGCCGCAUCAACAAUGGCGGAUGCAGUCAUAACUGUACUGAUAGUAACACUGGCGCCAUCUGCAGUUGUCCCGUCAGUUGGGAACUGGGGAAUGAUAAACUUACUUGUGACCAGGACGCCAAUGAGUGUAAAAGAAACCCUUGCUCGCAGCACGCGACGUGCAUCAACACGCGUGGCUCCUUUGAAUGCGUGUGCAACGUGGGAUA
rnacentral:lncRNA from 1 species